AUGGCUAACAACCGAAAUAUUUUUUCUUUUGUUUAGAAUAACAAUAAUGGUGGUUAUAACGUUGGAGAUCGAACAGCCACUGCUGCGAGGAAGGCUUCAGAUCAAUAUCAAAUGAAAUACUUCCAAAGCAGUGCCGCAUCAGUUGGGAAUUCGAAACAGGGUCGAAGCAUCCUGAAGCUGGAAUGGACCAACCAACAUGGCUGCGGGAUCACUGAUGAUAAAAAUCCUUCCAAGAGACAAUGCAACAUAGUGUUACAGUACAUGUGUCAGAAAUUAAAAGUCGAUGAUCCCCGUGAUCAGCUAAGAGAUGGCACAAAUACGAAUGCGCAAAGCUACA